CCUACGGGAGGCAGCAGUGGGGAAUAUUGGGCAAUGGGGGAAACCCUGACCCAGCGACGCCGCGUGAGGGAAGAAGGCCUUCGGGUCGUAAACCUCUUUUGUACGGGAAGAAGCAGAUGACGGUACCGUACGAAGAAGUCCCGGCUAACUACGUGCCAGCAGCCGCGGUAAUACGUAGGGGACGAGCGUUGUCCGGAAUUACUGGGCGUAAAGGGCGCGCAGGCUGCGCGUCGAGUCGGCUGUCAAAGAUCCGGGCUUAACCCGGUGAAGCGGUCGAGACCGACGUGCUGGAGUGCUGCAGAGGCAAGUGGAAUUCCCGGUGUAGCGGUGAAAUGCGUAGAUAUCGGGAAGAACACCGGUGGCGAAGGCGACUUGCUGGGCAGCAACUGACGCUGAGGCGCGAAAGCCAGGGGAGCGAACGGGAUUAGAUACCCCAGUAG
rnacentral:rRNA from 2 species